UGAUGCCGCGUGUUGAUGAUCGUGGAAAGGCAGGGUGCGAUCGUCACUUUACCAUUCUUUUCCUCCCCUCUUUCUCCCUCAGAUCCCAUUCUCUUCAUCAUUCUCUUUCUCUCUCCCUCAGUUUCAAUCUGCUCACCUAAAAUCCCCAGAUCGAACAUCAUCCAUCUCAAAUAAAAAAACCUUCCCCCUUUAAAACCUAUAGAAUCAGCACUAAUGGAAUAAUCAUGGAUUUUUGUUUAGAGUCGACCUUCAGGUGAUAAAAUCAUGAUGUGACCAUCACAUCUCAAAACGAUGAAAUCGCACAGGGCUUUGUUGAUUUCUGUCAACUCCGACCACGACCAGUGUCGGUAUGUUUAGACGGUUCGGAUGCGCCUAAUAAACUAACCUAAUUUGCCUCGCGCGUUUAGUCAUCUCCUU